rnacentral:lncRNA from 1 species
AACAAAGCUAACACUAAACAUAAAUAAAACUAAGCUAGGCCUGACUCUCUCUAGCUUGGAGCUAUGAUUCCCCAGCAGAGUCGGCAGCUGUCGCAUCUCGAAAAACAUGAUUCUUUGUGAGGCGUUCGCACGCUCGCGGAAAAGAUGUUUGAAUAGAGUCGCCACCGAACUUUAUUUAUUCCAAUGAAGGAAAUGGAAGAUAUCGAUAAAA